rnacentral:rRNA from 1 species
GACGGAGGAUGCAAGUGUUAUCCGGAAUCACUGGGCGUAAAGCGUCUGUAGGUGGUUUAAAAAGUCCACUGUUAAAGAUUGAAGCUUAACUUCAAAAAUGCCGUGGAAACUUUUAAACUUGAGUAUGAUAGGGGUAGAGGGAAUUUCCAGUGGAGCGGUGAAAUGCGUAGAUAUUGGAAAGACCACCAAUGGCGAAGGCACUCUACUGGGCCAUUACUGACACUGAGAGACGAGAGCUAGGGGAGCAAAUGGG